UGCUCUGGUGGCCUAGUGGUUGGAGCAUCCGCCUCAGAUGUGGGAGGUCGUGGGUUCAAUCCCCCAGUCGAGUCA